AGCGAACGCUGGCGGCAGGCCUAACACAUGCAAGUCGAACGAAGCCUUCGGGCUUAGUGGCGGACGGGUGAGUAACACGUGGGAACGUACCUUUUGGUUCGGAACAACUCAGGGAAACUUGAGCUAAUACCGGAUGAGCCCUUAGGGGGGAAAGAUUUAUCGCCGAAAGAGCGGCCCGCGUUAGAUUAGCUAGUUGGUGAGGUAAAGGCCCACCAAGGCUACGAUCUAUAGCUGGUCUGAGAGGAUGAUCAGCCACACUGGGACUGAGACACGGCCCAGACUCCUACGGGAGGCAGCAGUGGGGAAUCUUGCGCAAUGGGCGAAAGCCUGACGCAGCCAUGCCGCGUGAAUGAUGAAGGUCUUAGGAUUGUAAAAUUCUUUUACCAGGGACGAUAAUGACGGUACCUGGAGAAAAAGCCCCGGCUAACUUCGUGCCAGCAGCCGCAGUAAUAC
rnacentral:rRNA from 1 species